AAAAGGACUCUCGGCAACGGAUAUCUCGGUUCUYGCAUCGAUGAAGAACGUAGCGAAAUGCGAUACUUGGUGUGAAUUGCAGAAUCCCGUGAACCAUCGAGUCUUUGAACGCAAGUUGCGCCCAAAGCCAUUCGGUUGAGGGCACGCCUGCCUGGGUGUCG
rnacentral:rRNA from 1 species